GAUGAACGCUGGCGGCGUGCCUAAUACAUGCAAGUCGAGCGAACGGACGAGAAGCUUGCUUCUCUGAUGUUAGCGGCGGACGGGUGAGUAACACGUGGAUAACCUACCUAUAAGACUGGGAUAACUUCGGGAAACCGUAGCUAAUACCGGAUAAUAUUUUGAACCGCAUGGUUCAAAAGUGAAAGACGGUCUUGCUGUCACUUAUAGAUGGAUCCGCGCUGCAUUAGCUAGUUGGUAAGGUAACGGCUUACCAAGGCAACGAUGCAUAGCCGACCUGAGAGGGUGAUCGGCCACACUGGAACUGAGACACGGUCCACACUCCUACGGGAGGCAGCAGUAGGGAAUCUUCCGCAAUGGGCGAAAGCCUGACGGAGCAACGCCGCGUGAGUGAUGAAGGUCUUCGGAUCGUAAAACUCUGUUAUUAGGGAAGAACAUAUGUGUAAGUAACUGUGCACAUCUUGACGGUACCUAAUCAGAAAGCCACGGCUAACUACGUG
rnacentral:rRNA from 1 species